AUCCUUUUGUAGUUCAUAAGCGUGAUGAUUGGGUGUUCACGCUGUUGUGUGACAUGUGCCUCCCUCAAACCUUGUUACGACCUGGGCACAUUACCCGUCUGACG
ensembl:snoRNA